UGAGUUAAUCUACUGGUUUUGGAGAAGCAGCUAGUAGUGUUUUUCAAUUACAGUGGUAUCUUUUGCGUUCUAUUCAUCACAAUACCUGGCGAAAUGUUGUUUAAGAAGCUGAUGGAUUAGGUGCAUGGAGCUGCUUAGGCUUCUAUUUCUAGUUAUAAUUUUCCACUUUACCUGAUUCAUUAUUCAAAGCAGCAUUAGUUGUCCACAUUCUUAAAUUUCGAUCAGGUGGUUAGAUGUUGCCUAGAGCAUGC
rnacentral:misc_RNA from 1 species